rnacentral:rRNA from 1 species
GUAGGUGGCAAGCGUUGUCCGGAAUUAUUGGGCGUAAAGCGCGCGCAGGCGGUUCUUUAAGUCUGAUGUGAAAGCCCACGGCUCAACCGUGGAGGGUCAUUGGAAACUGGAGAACUUGAGUACAGAAGAGGAAAGCGGAAUUCCACGUGUAGCGGUGAAAUGCGUAGAGAUGUGGAGGAACACCAGUGGCGAAGGCGGCUUUCUGGUCUGUAACUGACGCUGAGGCGCGAAAGCGUGGGGGAGCAAACAGGAUUAGAUACCCUGGUAGUCCACGCCGUAAACGAUGAGUGCUAAGUGUUAGGGGGUUUCCGCCCCUUAGUGCUGCAGCUAACGCAUUGAGCACUCCGCCUGGGGAGUACGGCCGCAAGGCUG